CCUCGGUUGGUCGGUUGGUCGGUCGGAAAUGGCCUGCCUCCCCUUCUAGUUUUCCUUCAAAGCCCAGCUUGGAGCCACUUCCUGUAGGAAACCGUCCCUGAAAUAAAAAGCCCUGGACGGCCUCUGGGAGGGUUUUCCCCUUGGAUUCUCAUCGCAUCUAAUUACCGCACUCACACCUCUCUGCCUUUCUGGAUUGUAAGCGCUUGAGGACAAUUUCUCCAGGUUCUACUACCAGGAAGGGCUGCUUGCGGACCUAAUGAGAAGCUGGUCAUCUGCAAACCAGGAAGAGGGUUCUCAUCAGGACUGGAAUCAGCAGGCACCUUGAUCUUGAACUUCCCAGCCUCCAGAAGGAGAACAACAGAAACAAAUAGCAACUGAACUAGCAGUUGCUAAAUGUUCAAAGAAGAGUAUAAAUAAAGAUAUUUGGUACAGGCAUUCGGAGGAGGAAAUAGUGAAGUUAAACUACAAGAAGGGAAAAACCAACACAGGACUGGCCACUGGCUCAGCUCGGGUGAGAGCUUGAGCUGGAGUGAUGGUGGUGAUGAUGAGACCAAAGAGGAAAGAAGAGACAUUAACAAACAAGAAACAUAUUCACCAAAACCUACCAAAUCUUCCUGGCUAACUGGAUGCUGAGGAGUGAUCUGGGAGGAAUCCACAAAGUUUGAGAUCAAAACCUCAAAAAUCUAAGCGACUGGAAAUAUUUGUUUUAAGAGGGUAUGGCAAUCAGAGAAAAGACCCAUUAGUCCACGGGGGGGGGGGGGGGGAGGAUGUGGAAUUGGGUGAUUCUGAUUUUUUCACCUGUUGAGUUUGAGGUGACAGUUGUAUGUACAGUAUGACAAAAGGCAGGCGUUGGUGAUAUCUGCCUCCUUUACUGUGAUGGCCCUUGGUUUUUUUAUUGGCUUUUACACACAGUCUCAGGCUGACCAGAUCCAGAUGUGAAGUUAACUCUUUUUUUUU